rnacentral:rRNA from 1 species
AUGAUUUUUCUUCAGACCCUGAAAGCACAACCAUAUUGCUGUCCUCACAAUAUCUUCCAUCAUCAAACCCUGAAACUGGAGAAGGUGCUAAUGUUGCUAAGGUUGAUUUGUUUUUCUUCGCUAUUACGAGGUUGCACACGAACCGUGGGAAACGAUUAUGACAAGCCGAUGUUUCAAAAUAGCGAAUGUGAUGCCAGUGUUGGUUCUAUUGCUAAAGCGUUUGUCCCCACUGGCAUGCUCAACUCAGACAGUGCUCGUGUUGUUUUAUAUUCUCUAUGUCAGAAGUACCUUGACACUGACAAGUUGAUAGUUCCCAGAUGGGUGAUGACCAAGAUCCAUGAUGGGAAUAUUGCUGCCAAUGUGCUACAGUGGUUCAUGAGAUCAGGGGCUGAUGGUUUUGACCAAAUUCUUUUCCCUACUUUUGAUCCGCCGUCAUUUGUGGCUGCCAUGAAGCCUAGUGAAGAAUCUGGGCAUUGGUGCUUGAUUGUUCUGAAUUUGAGGUUUCGUCAUCUCGAGUGUCUUGAUUCACUCCGCGAUGAAAGUUGGAGUGACACAGUUAGAUUCUUUAGGACUAUGACAGAUAACAUAAAGAAGCUCUGGAGGGAGUCCAGCGUAUACAAGGCCAAACUGUUCUUGCCGGCGCAUAUUGAUGGUUUCUCUUGCGAGUUUGUGCGGGCGCCGCGGGAGCAAAACACGUACCUAGACUUGCCUGCCUGCGGCCCAGGGCGUGGCUCCACCAACAGCCUGGUAGAGCCCAUCUUCACCAGCAACCACUCAAGACCCUCGUGA